UACGGAGGGUGCAAGCGUUAUCCGGAUUCACUGGGCUUAAAGGGUGCGUAGGUGGGCAAGUAAGUCAGUGGUGAAAUCUCCGGGCUUAACCCGGAAACUGCCAUUGAUACUAUUUGUCUUGAAUACUGUGGAGGUCAGCGGAAUGUGUCAUGUAGCGGUGAAAUGCUUAGAUAUGACACAGAACACCGAUUGCGUAGGCAGCUCACUAAACUGUAACUGACGCUGAGGCACGAAAGCGUGGGGAGCAAACAGG
rnacentral:rRNA from 1 species